rnacentral:rRNA from 1 species
CCUGGCUCAGGACGAACGCUGGCGGCGUGCCUAAUACAUGCAAGUCGAGCGGACAGAUGGGAGCUUGCUCCCUGAAGUCAGCGGCGGACGGGUGAGUAACACGUGGGCAACCUGCCUGUAAGACUGGGAUAACUCCGGGAAACCGGGGCUAAUACCGGAUGAUUCUUUCCCUCACAUGAGGGAAAGCUGAAAGAUGGUUUCGGCUAUCACUUACAGAUGGGCCCCGGCGCAUUAGCUAGUUGGUGAGGUAACGGCUCACCAAGGCGACGAUGCGUAGCCGACCUGAGAGGGUGAUCGGCCACACUGGGACUGAGACACGGCCCAGACUCCUACGGGAGGCAGCAGUAGGGAAUCUUCCGCAAUGGACGAAAGUCUGACGGAGCAACGCCGCGUGAGUGAUGAAGGUUUUCGGAUCGUAAAACUCUGUUGUUAGGGAAGAACAAGUACCGGAGUAACUGCCGGUACCUUGACG